GUCGUGCGAGUACGCGUCCUCGUUGCUGGUGCUGCUGCUCUUCCUCCUCGGGCUCGGCGUCGGGGCGUUGGAGCCGGUCGUGCUGCUGGUGUAGUGCUGCGGGGAGUCCGUGAAGCGCAACGGCUUGUCCGGCAUCGCUGGAAGGCCAGGCGCUAUGCCACCCAUGUUACUUAGGAACGGCCUAUGUUCUCUAGGAGUUUGCAUUAUCCGGGAAGACUGUGUACCUUCUUAGUUACACCAGGGACUUCAGUUGAAAAAAAGAUGAGGGAGUCAUCCCUUACCAAGUGCUACCGAGAGACCAGUCGGAUUACCUGUAAUGGUGUGCCCGUCCGUGAUAAGUGUUGUGCGGAUAGCCGCUGCUCGAGCUGAACUCGUAAUCAGCGCCGAGAUAAGAGUUGCGAUUUGAGCCGGUGUCCGCUUGAAACCACCACCUGGGCUGCUCCUCGUCGCACUCGCUCACUCGGG